UAUUUUAUUUGUUAGGUGAGGCUCCUAUAUGAGAUAUAUGCUGCUGCCCAAAAAUAUCGAGAGAUGCCAAUGGGUUAACAGGUAUUGCCGAAUUAAGGUUCUACUUAAUGCAGCUGAGUUAUAACUCAACGCCAUAUAGUGCCAAAACUCCACGAAGAAUUCUGUAU
rfam:Clostridium tyrobutyricum DIVETGP, WGS project CBXI01000000 data, contig: NODE_4